GCGAGGAUGGUGGAACUGGCAGACACGCAGGUUUGAGGGACCUGUGGCCAAUGCGGCUGUGAGGGUUCGAAUCCCUUUCCUCGCACCA
rnacentral:tRNA from 2 species